UUUCUUUCAUAUUUAUAUAUGUAUAAAACAAAAUUCACAGGUAUCUUCUCUCCUUUACACCUCAACACUAUUGUAUGUCUUCAGUAAAAUUUCUGUAAACCUGAGUAUGAUGUCAAGAACUCAAUGGACAUUUAAUAAAUAUUCAUUUGUGACAAUCAUGAUAACCUCACACAGGGCUUUGAAAGUGAUUUUCAGAAAUCAUCAGCUAUUCUUUCACAUAGAUUAAAAAACCUUCCCCCAGAAGAGAUGAUUGCCUUUCAAUCAUAGAAGAAAAAAAUACAGCAAAAACAAGUGAGAUAGUGUCUUUUUAUUUUUAAGCUAAAGAUCCAGUGUAUUAUAGCAUUAUGUACCAUGAAGAUUUCAGAUAAAACUAUGUAAACUCAAGUUAGUGACAUACAAUUGUAUCGGGUUUAAAAUUUUUCCAUAUACUGUGGUAUGCACUAAUAAAUUCCGACCUGUGGUUUUAAAUACAGUAGCAUCUAAGCACUGAUACAGACCUGCAAUUAUGUCAAUGGACAUUCUAUGAACAUUAGUAGUGAAGAUACAAAUCCACUGCAGUAAGCUGAUUAGCAAUGCUAAUGUGCACACUACACAGUCAUAUAAUUAAAAAGAGUUUUACUCACAGUGAUGUCGAGGUUAUGGGGUUAGGACAGUUUCCACUUCAAAAGAUGGAAGAAUCCAGGUUACUAUGAUAGCAAAAAGUAAAUCACCUAAUUUAAGCUGUUGAAAAUAUCAUGGUUUAUUUUUAAAAAAGAAACUUCUACCCUACCUUUGAACAUUAUGGUAAAUUAUGAAUUAAUUCUUUCCCAGCUAAAAGAGAUUUUAAAAAAGCAGAACCUCAAUAGGCAUGAUAAAG
rnacentral:lncRNA from 1 species